rnacentral:rRNA from 1 species
AUAAAGAAAACUUGUAGAUUGUUGAAUCGCUUGUUUUGUAAAUAAUAAAAAUAUUUUUAAAAUUUAAAAAGAGUAUUAAAAAAAGAAUUUAAAUUUAUUUACUAUAGAGAAUAGUACUGUAAGGGAAAGUUAAGAGGUGUUAAAAUUUAAUAAAUAGAAAAGUUGUGCCUUGUGUAUCAGAAAAAAUCUAAAUUAAAAAAAUAAGGUUUAAAUCUCGAAACAAAGUGAGCUAAGAGGAAAUUUAAGUUUCUUUUUAAAAAUAAUUUUUAAUUUCUUUUUAGAGGUGAAAUGCCUUUCGAAUUUUGAGGUAUCUAGUUUUCUUAGAAGUAAAUUUAAUUUGAUGUCUAUUUAAAUUUAAAUAGAGAGUUAAAUCAGGAGGGUAGAGCUUCUUGGUAAUAUUUUAUAUAGAAAUAUAAAUUGAGGAUUAAACUAGGCUUGAAGGUGGUCAUGUUUGGAGAGUGUUAAAACUCAAGAUUUGGGUUUAUAAUAUUUAAUAAUUCUUAUUUUUAAUGUAUAAGGAUGUUUAAGUAAACAUUUGGUUAAAGUAAUAAUGAUUUUAUUAGUAAAUAAUUAUAUUGGGAAUCAAUAUUAUAAUCAGGAGAAAUUAUAUAAAGUUUGAUAGAUUUUUAAGGAACUCGGCAAAGCAGUUUCUGCCUGUUUAUCAAAAACAUGUCUGGUUGUAGCUAAAAUCAGUCGGACCUGCCCCCUGAUGGUUUAAAGGGCCGCGGUAUUUUGACCGUGCGAAGGUAGCAUAAUCAUUAGUCUUUUAAUUAAAGGCUGGAAUGAAGGGUUUGACAAGAAAUUGACUGUCUUACAAAUUGAGAUUGAAGUUGACUUUUAAGUGAAAAGGCUUAAAUUUUUUUUAAAGACGAUAAGACCCUAUAAAAUUUUACAUUAUAUAGAUUGGUUUCAAAUUAUUUGUGUAACUUUAUUAUUUUAAUAUGUGUUUCGUUGGGGUGAUGAAAGUAUAAGUUUAACUGCUUUAUGUUAUAAACAAAUAUAUUUGAUAAUUUAUUGAUCCUUACUUAAAGAUUAAAGAAAAAAUUACUUUAGGGAUAACAGCGUUAUUUUUUUUGAGAGUUCCUAUCGACAAAAAAGUUUGCGACCUCGAUGUUGAAUUAAAAUUUCUUUAUAGUGCAGCAGCUAUAAAAGAAGGUCUGUUCGACCUUUAAAUUUUUACAUGAUUUGAGUUCAGACCGGUGUAGCCCAGGUUGGUUUCUAUCUUGAAAGAUAAAAUUAAUGACCUUAGUACGAAAGGAUUAGGUUGUUGAAAUAGUUUUAGGACAAGAAUAUUAGUGUUGAUUUUGCCAAAGAUGGUAGUUGACUGAAAUCAAAUAUAUAA